GACGAACGCUGGCGGCGUGCUUAACACAUGCAAGUCGAACGGAAAGGCCCUGCUUUUGUGGGGUGCUCGAGUGGCGAACGGGUGAGUAACACGUGAGUAACCUGCCCUUGACUUUGGGAUAACUUCAGGAAACUGGGGCUAAUACCGGAUAGGAGCUCCUGCUGCAUGGUGGGGGUUGGAAAGUUUCGGCGGUUGGGGAUGGACUCGCGGCUUAUCAGCUUGUUGGUGGGGUAGUGGCUUACCAAGGCUUUGACGGGUAGCCGGCCUGAGAGGGUGACCGGGCACGGGGGGGCUGAGAGCAGGCGCGGGGGCCGACGGGAGGCAGGAGUGGGGAGGCUGGAACAAAGGGCGGACGCCACAAGCAGCAAUGCCGUGUGCGGGAGAACGGGCCCAGGGAUCGGAAACGCAGUCACCUGUGACGUAGAGUGAAUGAAGGACACGAGAAGAGAGACACGGGCUAACAACGGG
rnacentral:rRNA from 1 species